ACUCCUACGGGAGGCAGCAGUGGGGAAUAUUGGACAAUGGGGGAAACCCUGAUCCAGCAAUGCCGCGUGUGUGAAGAAGGCCUUCGGGUUGUAAAGCACUUUUAUCGGGGAAGAAUAGGUUGGCGUUAAUAGCGCCAACACUUGACAUUACCCGUUGAAUAAGCACCGGCUAACUCCGUGCCAGCAGCCGCGGUAAUACGGAGGGUGCGAGCGUUAAUCGGAAUUACUGGGCGUAAAGGGUGCGUAGGCGGAAGCUUAAGUCUGAUGUGAAAGCCCCGGGCUUAACCUGGGAAUGGCAUUGGAAACUGGGUUUCUAGAGUGUGGUAGAGGAUAGUGGAAUUUCCAGUGUAGCGGUGAAAUGCGUAAAUAUUGGAAGGAAUACCAGUGGCGAAGGCGGCCACCUGGUCAAAGACCGACGCUGAGGUACAAAAGCGUGGGGAGCAAACAGGAUUAAAUACCCUGGUAGUCCACGCCGUAAACGAUGUCAACUAGUUGUUCGUGUCAUUAAAACGUGAGUAACGCACCUAACGCACUAAGUUGACCGCCUGGGGAGUACGGCCGCAAGGUUAAAACUGAAAGGAAUUGACGG
rnacentral:rRNA from 1 species